UCCCCGUUAUCCGAGGCGGUUUCGCUAGAGUGCCCGACUUGACUCGCUGGCAACUAACGAUAAGGGUUGCGCUCGUUGCGGGACUUAACCCAACAUCUCACGACACGAGCUGACGACAGCCAUGCAGCACCUAUGCAGCAGUUCUUGCGAAAAGGGAUAUUUCUACCCCGGUCCACUGCAUUUCGAGCCCAGGUAAGGUGGGAUGACGUGUCGGCAUUAGCCA
rnacentral:misc_RNA from 1 species